GAUGAACGCUAGCGGCAGGCUUAAUACAUGCAAGUCGUGGGGCAGCGCAGUGUAGCAAUACAUGGGCGGCGACCGGCAAACGGGUGCGGAACACGUACGCAACCUUCCUUUAAGUGGUGAAUAGCUUUCGGAAACGAAAAUUAAUACACCGUAAUAUUAUGAAGUGGCAUCAUUUUAUAAUUAUAGCUCCGGCGCUUAAAGAUGGGCGUGCGUCUGAUUAGGUUGUUGGCGGGGUAACGGCCCACCAAGCCUGCGAUCAGUAACUGGUGUGAGAGCACGACCAGUCACACGGGCACUGAGACACGGGCCCGACUCCUACGGGAGGCAGCAGUAAGGAAUAUUGGUCAAUGGACGCAAGUCUGAACCAGCCAUGCCGCGUGGAGGAUGAAGGUCCUCUGGAUUGUAAACUUCUUUUAUUUGGGAAGAAACCCACGAUUUCUAUUGUGGU
rnacentral:rRNA from 1 species